CAAAAGAACAAACUAUGAAUAACAGGAAAAAGCUUGUUUUGAUGUAUUCCUAAUAAGGAAAAUGUUAAUAAGGAAGUGUGUGUAAUUGAUUGUGGUUUUAAGCUAAAUAAGCUUUUGUAUUCCCUUUCGGGGGGAGGGGGGAGGGUCGGCAGCUUGGCUGUCAUUCCCCUGCAUGCUUGUAAUAAAGUGGGCUUCAGGCUGUUCUGAUCCAAACACAACGCGUGGUAAUUUUUUCCACAACAAUUAAAUGGUUCCGUGACUCAGAUAGACAGCCAACCCCCAGAACCAAAGGACCGUGAACAGUUCCCCGCCAGACCCAGGGCCCAUCUGAAAGGAACUGCUGGCUAAGGUCCCCCACAUCCUGGUGGGCUGAUCAUGCUGACCAGCUUGGGUACAUUGGGUCCACCCAACCACGUAAAGUUCGCCUGAACCCAGCAAGACCCCUUCCCAAGGUGCAGCAGUACCCUCUCUGAAAACAGGCUGAGGAAGGAAUUUGACCAGUAAUCACCUCUUUAAUAUAGCAAAAAGCCAUUAUUCCUAUGGUCAGUGAGUGUAACUCCCCCAUUUCACCAUGCUGUUAAUGCUGCUGUUCUCCCUACCUUUCCCAUUGUCCCUAGCCCUGCUACUAUCCUUUCCUACAAUGCACUGGUGCUAAUGGGUUUUUACCGCCUCAAAUAAGGGAAAGGUUGUAUUAAGUCUGGACAUAAAAGAUUAAUGUUAUUGUUAAAUAAGAUGCAUCUAGAUAUGAGGAAUCAAUGUGUGUGUAUGUAAAUAGGUGUGUAUGAAUGAAUAAAAGGGGGGGUCAGCCAAAUCUUGUAACCCAGUGGAUAGGAACAUUUCCUUAUUUAUGAGCCACUGACCCCAGUGGACCCUUUCCCAUGGAGGUGAGGGAGUAAGAAUUUUCUUUACCCUAUGAGCCGCUAGCAGAUAGGGCGUGUGUGAUUGAAGAUGGGUGGGGGACAGUCUGAAAGUUCCCCCCUCACCACGGGAGGGUGCCCCUGCUUAUUACAUGUGCAUUCUGUCCAGGUGGCAAGCCUUAUGGGGGAUAAUUUGGGUGACCCUGGUGAGUAAUAUUGUUAAGGAAAGGGACCAGGAGGGAUGGGGGUUCAUUGAAAAGCUCACCCUCCUUGCUAAAUUGGUAGUCAAAUAAAGCCUGUGCCCAUGGAAAGGAAUAAUGCAGCGAGGAAAAAAGGAUCGGGCCCAAACAAGCAGGCAACAACAGUUAAAGGAAGUUGAAAGUAACAGAGUGGAAGUUAACUCUGUAGUUACAGGAGGAAAUUAAGCAGUGAAACUUUGGACAAAUGUUAAAAGAAGGUGUUAUGAAAAGAAAAUUCUUGAUUUCUUUUGCAGCCAUUCCUUUGGAGAAAGGGCACAUUUCUCUGGAGGAAUGUCUGUAGAUAAUCCAGGCAAAAGGUUAUUUAAGUGAAAUCAUUUAACUAUGAACAAUCUUUGUUUUAUAAGUUUAAGAUGAAUUGUUGUUGUUUUAAAAUUGUAAAACCGAAAAAUACUUUUGCCAGACAAAAGAAACUAGUGUUGUUUAAUUUUGGUAUUUAGCAUUUAAUCAUUAAGGUGUCUUAAUGCUUUACAAGGUUUAAAAUGUUUUCAAAUAAAGACCAAAGUUGUUGCUGCAGCAGGGCAGUCAAAGCCAGGAAAAUGGGAAAAGAUUUUAAAUCUGUUUCGGUAACAAAUAGCAGAUAAAAACUGUAGUCAGUGCCCCACACUAAGUGUUAAGGUGGCUUUGUGUAAUCAACGGUCACUUUGCCAAAGGGGAGCCAAAAUGGGUUGUGUUUUCCUUUUCAAAUCAAUGUGUGUUUAAAAGCAAUGUGUAUUCUAAAAGUUAGAAGUUAAUUGUGUCUUUUUGAGACAAAGUCUCUAAGCAGCUGAUAACUUUGAAUCCAAAAGCAAGCCGAGAAUGUCUGUGUUAAUGCAAAUCACCUAAAUAAUAAAGAUAGAAUCCAUUGAAACCUGACCUGCCUAUAAAACAAAUACAGGAAAAUAUGGGGAGUAAUUCCUCAGAGUUGCCUGCAAACAGCAAGGGUAUUUGUAAAGAAAGGAAUAUUUUAAGCAAUACUGCCAACAGUGUGUAAUCUGCCAGCAACAUAGUGUUGGUAAAGCUGUCAAGGUUAGGCAGGCAGCACAUCCCCCUUCCUGGGGACCUUUUGUAAAUAUUCAGAUUGAUUUUAUUUAAAUGUCUAAAUGUUGUAAUUAUAAGUGUGUUAGUUUUAGUUAAUGUAUUUUCAAACUGGCUUGAGGCCUUUCCCUGUAAAAAGGCAGAUGCCAAAACUUAUAAAACUUUGUUUAAGGAUUUUGUACCACGAUUUGGCAUACCUGUGAGUAGCAACAGUGAUAGUGGACCUAAUGUUAUUGGAGAAAUUAUAACAAGUUAUGUGCAGCUUUACAGAUCCAACAUAAUCUCCACUGCCUCCACCACCCACAGUCUGCUGGGACAGUGAAACGUCAAAAUGGGAUUUUGAAAAAUAAACUGUCCAAGAUCUGUGCUAAAAUGAAUUUAAAGUGGCCAAAUGCCCUCCCAUUAGCAUUAAUGAAUAUGAGGGCCACUCCCAGUCAAAAGACUGGACUCAGUCCUCAUGAAAUUCUAACAGGGCACCCAAUGUGACUACUGGCUGCACCCCCACUGUCCCUGGCUCAGAUGGGCAUUCAUUUAAUAUAUGACACAAUGCUUCAUUAUCACCAGGCACUAAUGAAA